UACAGAGGGGGCGAGCGUUGUUCGGAAUUACUGGGCGUAAAGGGCGCGUAGGCGGCCUGCUUUGUCGAACGUGAAAUCCCCGGGCUCAACCCGGGAACUGCGUCCGAAACUGGCAGGCUCGAAUCCGGGAGAGGGAUGUGGAAUUCCAGGUGUAGCGGUGAAAUGCGUAGAUAUCUGGAGGAACACCGGUGGCGAAGGCGGCAUCCUGGACCGGUAUUGACGCUGAGGCGCGAAAGCCAGGGGAGCAAACGGG
rnacentral:rRNA from 1 species